GGGGGGGUAGCCCAGCUUGGUGGGCAUCUGGCACAACCAGGAGGCGCGAGUUCAAAUCUCGUCCUCCCCA
rnacentral:tRNA from 1 species